rnacentral:rRNA from 1 species
GAUGAACGCUGGCGGCGUGCCUAAUACAUGCAAGUCGAGCGAACGGACCAGAAGCUUGCUUUUCUGAUGUUAGCGGCGGACGGGUGAGUAACACGUGGAUAACCUACCUAUAAGACUGGGAUAACUUCGGGAAACCGGAGCUAAUACCGGAUAAUAUUUUGAACCGCAUGGUUCAAAAGUGAAAGACGGUCUUGCUGUCACUUAUAGAUGGAUCCGCGCUGCAUUAGCUAGUUGGUAAGGUAACGGCUUACCAAGGCAACGAUGCAUAGCCGACCUGAGAGGGUGAUCGGCCACACUGGAACUGAGACACGGUCCAGACUCCUACGGGAGGCAGCAGUAGGGAAUCUUCCGCAAUGGGCGAAAGCCUGACGGAGCAACGCCGCGUGAGUGAUGAAGGUCUUCGGAUCGUAAAACUCUGUUAUUAGGGAAGAACAUAUGUGUAAGUAACUGUGCACAUCUUGACGGUACCUAAUCAGAAAGCCACGGCUAACUACGUG